UGACAGCGGAACAUAAAACCAAGCAUAAGGCCCAUCUAAGCAUGGAGCUUUGUGUACCUUCACAAACUACAUACCCAGGUAGCUGGCCCUGGUUUCAUGUUAUAAAAAUAUGGAACUUAGGGACACAUUUCAUUAAGAGCAGCACUACUAAAAGUGAAGAGAAUCAGAGAACAAUUAUAAAGAAGUGAAAAUAAAUUUCUGGAAAACAGGACAUGAAUGAAAGCAUGCUGACAAAUGAAGCAGACAGAAACUGCAGGCCAAAAUAAUUCUGCAGCAGAACUGGGAAUUGAUUUUCUGGAUGUGGGGCUGGCAGGUGCAGUGUGAGAAGGUGAGAUGGUAAAUCACAACUGAAUUAGUUGGCACCUCCAAAUCACCAUUUCCCUCUACCAGGGAAGGCACCCUUGUGAUUGAUUACAUGCAGGCAUACAACUGGGUUCUCCACUUCUAAAGAAAUUUAACAAACAGCCCAGGGAAAAUUAAUGCGGACCUAGGAGGGAAACAAAUGCACAUCAACAGCAGAAGAGGAAAGAAAGCACACUAGCUCUCUAGAAAAAUCAGCUCCGACCUUCAUGGCUGAAUAUGAAAGGAUGACCAAGAAGCGCCACACAGAGGACGAUUUUCAGCAUGAGUAGGAAAAGGCUAGCUAAACUAACAGGAAAGGGACACAAGGAAACACAAUUUAGUGAACAGAAGAGAGGUUUAAAACUUGUUAUUCUCAGAGAUAGUUGAGAGAGAGGUAAGGGCAUUUGUGAAACAGAAGCAGGGUGCUAUUAAACAAGAAAGAGGUCUUAGAGGGUAUUUUUGGUUAACAGCUAACGUAAUUUUUGAAAAUUUAAUAGAUUUGGUAGAUAAAAAUGAGAUAAUUUCCCAGAAUAUUAAGUUAAAAAGAUGAAGAAAUAUACAAGAAAAAAAAGAUAACUAUAGGAAAUUGGUCUUGGAGGCUGCCAUAUUAACUAAUAAGAUUUCCAGAAAGACUGGUAAAUCUGAGAAAAAGGUAGGAAAGAAAUUUCAAAGAAAUUACAAAAAUUUUUUUCAGAGAGGAAGAGAGCAAUGAAUCUUGAGAUGAAAAGGACCAAAUGAGUGCCAAACAGGUAAAAUGAAGAAGAUCUCCAAUCAGAGAUAUUACGGGGAAAUUUCAUAACAUGAAGAAUAUAAAGUAAUCUACAAAUGCUUUCCAAGAGAAAACAAUAGUUCCCUGCAAGGACUUGAGAAGGAGACCACAGACCACCACGGAGUUCUUGUCUUGGAGGAGCUUAUAAUACAGCGGGAGGCACAAUUGUGAGGGAGAGAUUAAUGACAAGCAGAGCCACAAUUACAGAAGCAGGACGCUGAGAGGCAAUCUACUUCUACCCUCGCUAGGUGCCAAUGUCAGCUACAACGCCCCUCCGCAGACACCUCCGAAACUGCCCCGCUUCCGCCCACAAUACUCUGCGCUUCGACCUACAAACUGAGCUUGCGCCAAGAUUAGUGCGCACGCGCCAACCCCAGCCCUAUCGGAAUUUCAAGUCAGAGGAUUCCAGGGGGCGGCCUAACCUAGGGGUGGGGCGGAGGCUCGCCCUAAAGCCACGUGAACUGUUCUCCUAAUUUGGGAAGGGUCCGGGGUGGGCGGGGCGUGGAGCGGCGAGCGGCGCCGAGUGCACCGGCAUCGAGCCCCGGGACAGGGCGUGUGCUCGUGCUGAGGCGCGCUGGGCUCUGUCCCGCUGCAUCUCUGGCACCUGAGUUGCGCCCUGGCAGAGCCCGUGCUUCCCGCGCCCCACCUGUCAGGAGCUGCCUUCCGCGAUAAUGUCCAAGUCUCUGAAAAAGCUGGUGGAGGGGAGCCGAGAGAAGAACCAGCCGGAAGUGGACAUGAGUGUCCGGGCAUUUUCAGCAUGCUGGAUGUCAGCGCUGCUGGGGCAGCGCCUUCCCUGGAAGGAGUGGGAAAGGUUUAUACGUUUUCCCUGCCCAUCGUGGUGUGCGAGGUUAUAAUGGUUUACAGCCCACCCCCUGCUUGUAAACAUCACUUGUCAAGAGCUUAGCUCAGAAAGUUUGCAGUCCGACCCGAAUGGAAAAUGGACGAGAGUCUAGGGUGGCGAUUCAUUUGCAUGGGAAGAGAAUGGUUAUUGCAUCUCCAGCUUUUCCUUCCUCAUUCUUAAUUUCCUUAAAGAAAUUUGCUGUAGAAGCCUCUCCCGCCACAGCCGCUGGCUCCACCUGAAUGGUAAAGUUGCUUCUGAAGCACCACCCUGUGAUGAGCUUCCAGAGGAGCAGAGAUCCCAUCGGUGGCCAGGGAGACUUUUGUCCAUUUCUUUAAAUCUUUUGUGAUUUUUUAAUCUCCAAGUUUACUAUUCUCUGGGUGGUCUAACGUUUGUCGGUUUGUUUUUCUUUUCAGAGUAGAAUAAAAUAUCUCUCAGAUAAGUCUGUCUCCCUCUGAGGGACUGGCCUCUCUAACGGACCAUGCAAAAUAAUCAAAAAACAUAAUCAUGUUAUCUGGAAGAGCUGCUCCAAAACCCUGGUAAAUCUGGAUGUUGUCUUCCCUGUUGGGAAUUUUUAUCAGCAUAGCCUGUCUUUGGGGGAAAGAGAGAGGAGCUGUGAAGACUGUCCUUUUAGCUAUAAUAUUUAUUAAGACCUGUUAUUGUUUUACUCUGAGUUGCAAGUACAUGCCCAGCUUUGUGUUUGCAAACAGAUAGUGUCUUGGCCGGGGAAGCCCUUUUCUCUUUACUGCCUCCAGCUAACUGCCCACCCCCCCACUUGUCACUCACAGCUUGUUGAAAGAAGGAAUGCCUUCUCUGUCCUCAGGACUACAUUCUUGUGGUGCUUCCUCUGAGAAGCUCCCCUGGUGCUAAAUUUUAACCCAUCAUCCCAGCUAGCCUGGAAUGUGUCUCCUCUGGGCCUGGUGUGCAUACGUCUGCUAUCUCUUUGCUUGGGAAGAGUUUAUCGAAGAAGGAUGCAGUUUCUUUUAGUGAAGAAUUCUGGUGAGCUGCAGUAGGAAGCAUAGCCGGUGAGGGGGACCAUAUCCGACCCCUUCCCACUUCCCAGAGGGAAAGCAGUUCACAGCUAUCAGGUAUGUGAUUGAACUGUUCAGCGUUCUAUUUUGGUUUUUGAACAAGGUAAACACUGAAAAUAUUUCAUCCAGACAGGAAAUAAAAAUAAAAAUGGUGACCCCUUUCAUGUAACUGAACUAAUUACCUUUUACUCUUUUUCAGUCAUUUUGACAUUUCUGCUCUAGUGACUUGGCCUCUCUUUUGUGUCUAGGUUUUGCGUUGCUAGCUGUGUAACCUGGGGCAAGUCAGUUAACCUCUGAGCCUCAGGUGUCUCAUCUGUAAAAUGGGAAUAAGAAGAGUAGCUACCUCAUAGAAUUGCUGUAAGUCAUUAGCUGUGAAGUGCCUGGUAUACUAUCUGGCACAUCUGAGUCCAGUCAGGCUGCUGUAAUAGGGCACCAUCAACUGGGGGCCUUAUAAACAGCAUCUGGUUCUCAUAGUUCUGGAGGCUGGAAGUCCAGGAUCGAGACACGGGCAGAUUCAGGGUCUGGUGAAGAACCCACUUUCUGGUUCACAGACUUCUUGCUGUGUCCUCACAUGGCUGAGAGGUCAUCUCUCUCCAGUCUCUUAUAAGGGCACUAAUACCAUUCAUGAGACUCCACCUUCAUGAUCUAAUCACUUCCCAAAGCUCCACUUCUCAAGAAACCAUCCCAAAUGGGGGUUAGGUUUCAAUAUAGGAAUUUUGGGUGUGGGGGCACUUUCAGUCUAUAGCAUGGCACAUACCAGCCUUAAUAUUCACUAUUAGUAUUUUUAAAUUGUUUUGUCUAUGAUUGUGAACAAAUGCAAAAUAUUAUCUCUAGUUUUUAGAAUACUCACGAAUGGAUUUCUCCAGCGGCUUUGCCUGCUUGUCUCACUCUUUGAUCAUGUCUGGGCACCUGAUGCCUCCCUCCUCACCAUACUGAGGAUUCAAGUUAGAUGAACAUGCCCAGUGUGACAAAGUCAGGAAGAAAACAGUGGCUUUACAUGGCAAGUUCAGAGCCAUGAACAGUGUGUGAGGUGCCUAGGGGGAAAGCAGGGCAUUUGACAAUAUUUUAAUUGUGAUGUGCUUAUGUUUGUUGAGAAGGUCAGACAGGCAU